UUUUUAGGUGGCAAUCUUAAUCAACCUCCUCUAUUGCACACAAACAUUUAUAUUAAUGGGCAAGAUUUUCAUGAUUACACACUUCUUUUGAAUGAAAAACACAUAGUAUUUUUUGUGGAUGGCACACCUAUAAGAGUGUUCAAGAAUAGCAAAGAUAAAGGAGGAAGUUAUCGAACACAAGCAAUGAAGGUUUAUGCAACAAU